rnacentral:sRNA from 1 species
GUGUCCCAUACAGGCGAUUCUUCUGCCUGAUUCGGCUACAUGCUGGAGGGUUCGGGGAGAGGCUAGUUUCAGUCCAGUUGGCGAUUUCUUGGAUAGAGAAGUUAUCAGUGAGCUGAAUGGAAAAAACAUUGAAGACGUCAUUGCCCAGGGUAUUGGCAAGCUUGCCAGUGUACCUGCCGGUGGGGCUGUAGCCGUCUCUGCUGCCCCAGGCUCUGCAGCCCCUGCUGCUGGUUCGGCCCCUGCUGCAGUAGAGGAGAAGAAAGAUGAGAAGAAGGAGGAGUCUGAAGAGUCAGACGAUGACAUGGGAUUUGGCCUUUUUGAUUAAAUUCCUGCUUCCCUGCAAAUAAAGC